AACGAACGCUGGCGGCAUGCCUAACACAUGCAAGUCGAACGAGACCUUCGGGUCUUGUGGCGCACGGGUGCGUACCGCGUGGGAACCUACCCUUAGGUUCGGUAUAACUCCCCGCAAGGGGUGCUAGUACCGGUUAAUGUCUUCGGACCAAAGAUUUCUCCCCUUUGGAUGGGCCCGCGUUUGAUUCGCUAGUUGGUAGGGUAACAGCCUACCAAGGCGAGGAUCCAUUGCUGGUCUGAGAGGAUGGUCAGCCACACUGGGACUGAGACACGGCACAGACUCGGGAGGGAGGAAGCAGUGGGGAAGAUUGGAGAAUGGGCGAAAGCCUGAGCGAGCAAGGCCGCGUGAGGGAUGAAGGCGUGAGGGAUGUAAAGCUCUUUUACGCGGGAGGAUAAUGACAGUACCGGGAGAAUAAGCCCCGGCUAACUCCGUG
rnacentral:rRNA from 1 species